GACGAACGCUGGCGGCGUGCCUAAUACAUGCAAGUCGAGCGAAGUUUUUCUGGUGCUUGCACUAGAAAAACUUAGCGGCGAACGGGUGAGUAACACGUAAAGAACCUGCCUCAUAGACUGGGACAACUAUUGGAAACGAUAGCUAAUACCGGAUAACAGUAUUUCUCGCAUGAGAGAUAUUUAAAAGUUGGUUAUGCUAACACUAUGAGAUGGCUUUGCGGUGCAUUAGCUAGUUGGUGGGGUAAAGGCCCACCAAGGCGACGAUGCAUAGCCGACCUGAGAGGGUGAUCGGCCACACUGGGACUGAGACACGGCCCAGACUCCUACGGGAGGCAGCAGUAGGGAAUCUUCCGCAAUGGGCGAAAGCCUGACGGAGCAACGCCGCGUGAGUGAAGAAGGAUUUCUGUUCGUAAAGCUCUGUUGUUAGGGAAGAAUGGAUAUGUAGUAACUAUACAUGUAAGAGACGGUACCUAACCAGAAAGCCACGGCUAACUACGUG
rnacentral:rRNA from 1 species